GACGAACGCUGGCGGCGUGCUUAACACAUGCAAGUCGAACGGAAAGGCCCUGCGUUCGUGCGCUGCUCGAUUGGCGAACGCGUGAGUAACACGUGAGCAACCUGCCCUUCUCUUUGGGAUAACUUCAGGUAACUGGGGUUACUACCGGAUAGGAGCUCCUGUACCGUUGUGAGGGUGGGAAAGUUUCGGCGGUUGGGGAUGGACUCGCGGCUUAUCAGCUAGUUGGUUGGGUAGGGGCUUACCCAGGCUGUGACGGGUAACCGGCAUGAGAGGGUGACCGGCGACAUUGGGCCUGAGAGACGCCCCAGUCUGCUACAGGAGGCAACAGUGGGGAAUCUUGCACAAUGGGCGGACGCCUGAUACAGCAACCCCGCGUGCGGAAUGACCUCCUUCGGGUAAAAAACCGCUGUAGCCUGUGACGAAGCGUGAGUGACGGUACUGAGUAAAGAAGCACCGGCUAACUACGUG
rnacentral:rRNA from 1 species